rnacentral:lncRNA from 1 species
GUGGUUUUUGCCAGCUCCCCGCAUCUUAUGAUUUUAUGAUUGGAAGAAAUCUCGAGUGGCCAUCAGAACCAGUCUGACCUUUGGACUCUGGAAAUCAUGAUCAAGACAGAACUGAGAAAUGCGACUUCUUGGAUCAGUUCCUAGGGACCACUUGACUUCAUUUGAAGAGCUUUGGAAAGAAAGAUUCUCAGCUUCGACAUUCUAACAUCUUAUCACCAUACCAGUAAGAAAGAAGACUCUUCCCUCAUCAGUAGCUGAUAAAAUUGUAAGAAAUCUUGGGGAAAAUCAAAUAAAUUUAGUAUUGGUAAAACA